rnacentral:lncRNA from 1 species
AAGUGAUCCGCCUGCCCUGGCCUCCCAAAGUGCUGGGAUUACAGAUGUGAGCCACCACGCCCAGCCAUGCUCGAUGAUUCUUGACGGGCCCUGGAUCCAGCUGACAGCCACCCGGGAGCCGCACCACGGGGAAUGCUGCGUAGGUUCUCAAGUGCACAUCUCACAGCUUCGCUGACAGGACAGCAAAGGACCAGAGAGAGGAAGUAACUCACCCAAGGCCCUUCAGGUGACUGGUGCACAGCCUGGGCAGAAGCCAAGUUUCCUGAUUCUGAGGCCAUUCAGGGUUGACCUCGCCCCCAAAUCAUCAGGUGCAUCCUUGGUGAUUUCUCCCUAGAAUGCUUGGUUGCAUUCGGCUCUAUCUUUCUUUGGCCCUAAGAGCCUUUCUCCUGCCCUCCUGGCCCCAGUACCCUUGACCUGUUUCUGCAAUCAUGGCUGCAGGCUGUUUCCCAGGUGCUCAAUGGCCCCCUCUGCGGAGCUGUUUCCAGGACUGACCAGUUCUGGAAACUGAAAGUCCAAGAUCACAGCUCCAGCAGAACCAGUGUCUGGUGGGGACCCUUCCUGGUUCAUGGACAACUGUCUUCUUGCUGUGUCCUCACGAUUAAAAGAGUGAGAAAUAUCUCUGAGGCCUAUUUAAUAAGGACACUAAUCCCAUUCCUGAGAGUUCAUCCCUCAUGACCUCAUCACCCCCCCAAGCCCCACUUCCUAACACCAUCGCCUCAGAGGUGAGGAUUUCAACAUAUGAAUUUUGGGGGGACAAAAACAUUGAGUCUUUAGUGCAACCCCACCCUACUUUAGCAUUU